rnacentral:rRNA from 1 species
UACGGGGGGGGCAAGCGUUGUUCGGAAUUACUGGGCGUAAAGGGCUCGUAGGCGGCCAACUAAGUCGGAUGUGAAAUCCCCAGGCUUAACCUGGGAACUGCAUCCGAUACUGGAUGGCUUGAAUCCGGGAGAGGGAUGCAGAAUUCCAGGUGUAGCGGUGAAAUGCGCAGAUAUUAGGAAGAACACCGGUGGCGAAGGCGGCUCCUGGAACGGUACUGACGCUGAGACGCGAAAGCGUGGGGAGCAAACAGG